rnacentral:rRNA from 1 species
UAACUGGGCGUAAAGGGCACGCAGGCGGUGACUUAAGUGAGGUGUGAAAGCCCCGGGCUUAACCUGGGAAUUGCAUUUCAUACUGGGUCGCUAGAGUACUUUAGGGAGGGGUAGAAUUCCACGUGUAGCGGUGAAAUGCGUAGAGAUGUGGAGGAAUACCGAAGGCGAAGGCAGCCCCUUGGGAAUGUACUGACGCUCAUGUGCGAAAGCGUGGGGAGCAAACAGGAUUAGAUACCCUGGUAGUCCACGCUGUAAACGAUGUCGAUUUGGGGGUUGAACUUUAAGUUUGGCGCCCGUAGCUAACGUGAUAAAUCGACCGCCUGGGGAGUACGGCCGCAAGGUUAAAACUCAAAUGAAUUGACGGGGGCCCGCACAAGCGGUGGAGCAUGUGGUUUAAUUCGAUGCAACGCGAAGAACCUUACCUACUCUUGACAUCCAGAGAACAUUCCAGAGAUGGAUUGGUGCCUUCGGGAACUCUGAGACAGGUGCUGCAUGGCUGUCGUCAGCUCGUGUCGUGAGAAG